rnacentral:lncRNA from 1 species
UGUGCAGCCUGGGGUGCUGGUGCCGGAGGCGCUGGGGCUGGGCAACUGGGUGAAGGCGCAGGAGUGGGCGGCGCUCCCCGACGGGCAGGCGACGUACCUGGGCAACCCGGUGCCGUGGGGCAACCUGCCGACCAUCCUGGCGAUCGAGUUCCUGGCCAUCGCCUUCGCGGAGCAGCAGCGCACCAUGGAGAAGGACCCGGAGAAGAAGAAGUACCCCGGCGGCGCCUUCGACCCGCUCGGCUUCUCCAAGGACCCCGCCAAGUUCGAGGAGCUCAAGCUCAAGGAGAUCAAGAACGGUACGUCCACCAUAUACUCUGUUGUUGAAAAAUCAUAGAACGAACUGACGUAUUUGCCUGCGGGAAAUGCAGGGCGGCUGGCGAUGCUGGCGUUCGUGGGGUUCUGCGUGCAGCAGUCGGCGUAC